GACGAACGCUGGCGGCGUGCUUAACACAUGCAAGUCGAACGGAAAGGCCCUGCUUUCGUGGGGUGCUCGAGUGGCGAACGGGUGUGUAACACGUGUGUAACCUGCUCUUGAUUUUGGGAUAACUUCAGGAAACUGGGGCUAAUACCGGAUAGGAGCUCCUGCUGCAUGGUGGGGGUUGGAAAGUUUGGGCGGUUGGGGAUGGACUCGCGGCUUACCAGCUUGUUGGUGGGGUAGGGGCUUACCAAGGCUUUGAUGGGUAGCCGGCCUGAGAGGGUGACCGGCCACAUUGGGACUGAGAUACGGCCCAGACUCCUACGGGAGGCAGCAGUGGAGAAUUUUGCACAAUGGGCGGAAGCCUGAUGCAGCAACGCCGCGUGCGGGAUGACGGCCUUCGGGUUAUAAACCGCUUUCGCCUGUGACGAAGCGUGAGUGACGGUAAUGAGUAAAGAAGCACCGGCUAACUACGUG
rnacentral:rRNA from 1 species